AUACGGAGGGUGCAAGCGUUGUUCGGAAUCACUGGGCGUAAAGGGCGCGCAGGCGGUUUGGUAAGUCAGAUGCGAAAGCCCACGGCUCAACCGUGGAAGUGCAUUUGAAACUGUCAGACUUGAGUACUAGAGGGGAAAGUGGAAUUCCCGGUGUAGAGGUGAAAUUCGUAGAUAUCGGGAGGAAUACCGGUGGCGAAGGCGACUUUCUGGCUAGAUACUGACGCUGAGGCGCGAAAGCGUGGGGAGCAAACAGGAUUAGAAACCCCGGUAGUCC
rnacentral:rRNA from 1 species